GGCUCUUGGCGGGGGAUCACUUGACUCAUGCAUUGAUGAAGAGUGCAGCUAUCUGCGAGAAUUAAUGUGAAUUGUAAGAAACAUUGAUCAUUGACACUUUGAAUGCACUUGCGGCCCUGGGUUCCUUCUGGGUCUAUGCCUGUCUCAGUGUCG
rnacentral:rRNA from 1 species